UACGUAGGGUGCAAGCGUUAAUCGGAAUUACUGGGCGUAAAGCGUGCGCAGGCGGUUUUGUAAGUCUGUCGUGAAAUCCCCGGGCUCAACCUGGGAAUUGCGAUGGAGACUGCAAGGCUAGAAUCUGGCAGAGGGGGGGUAGAAUUCCACGUGUAGCAGUGAAAUGCGUAGAGAUGUGGAGGAACACCGAUGGCGAAGGCAGCCCCCUGGGCUAACACUGACGCUCAUGCACGAA
rnacentral:rRNA from 1 species